GUUUUUGUUCUUCUGUGAUUCACACUCAUUUAGUUUUGUUUUGAAACAUGUUGCAUUUUUUCACAUUCCUGAUUGCUUGCAGGAACUUAGGUUCCCGAAGGCACAGACCUUGUAACUUUUCUGUGUCUCCAGUGUUCUAGGCGGGGCUGUACAUGUGGGAGCCUUAAAUACCAUGUAAGUGACUACAGUGAGGACAGAAACAUGGGAUGGAAAGCAAGCUCCAGCUCCCGAGAAGCGGCCCACACUGUGGACGAGGAAACCAUUGUGGUGCAGUGUCAUCGGCCUGGCCAUCCUUUGAUUAAUAAGACAUAUAAUUUUGAAAGAGUCUAUCGUCCAGCAGAACCUCAGACAGCAGUGUUUGCGGAUGUGUGCCUACUACUUACCUCCCUCUUGGAUGGGUACAAUAUAGCGGGAAGAGCUACACCAUAUUGGGACCAGGGCUACCAUCAGACGCCCACAGCGACUUGGGACUUAUCCCCAGAGCGGUUGAGGAGCUCUUCAGGUCUGCCUCUUAUGCUGCUGGCAACAGUCUCCAGGUGGGACUCCCAUACCCAGCACCACGCUGAUUCAGUUCAGCUGGGUAUUACAAACUGA
rnacentral:lncRNA from 1 species